rnacentral:rRNA from 1 species
GUUCUUUUGCUUUUAAUUUAAGAUCGGGCCUGCCCAUUGAUUUAAAUUAUUAAAAGGCUGCGGUAUUUUAACUGUACGAAGGUAGCAUAAUCAUUUGUCUUUUAAUUGAAGGCUGGUAUGAAUGGUUUGAUGAGAAAUAGACUUUCUUUGAAUAAUUUAUUUGAAUUUAAUUUUUUAGUUAAAAAGCUAAAAUUUUUUUAUAGGACGAGAAGACCCUAUAGAGGUUAACUAUUUUUAUUAAUUGUUUUUUUUUGUUUAUUAAAUUACUAUUUAGAAUAAAUAGUUUUGUUGGGGUGACAAUGAAAUUUAAUUAACUUUCAUUAAUUUUUUCAUAAAUUUAUGUUUUUUUGAUCCGAAAUUUUCGAUUAAAAGAUUAACCUACCUUAGGGAUAACAGCGUAAUUUUUUUGGAGAGUUCAUAUCGAUAAAAAAGUUUGCGA